rnacentral:rRNA from 1 species
GAUGAACGCUGGCGGCGUGCCUAAUACAUGCAAGUCGAGCGAACAGACGAGGAGCUUGCUCCUCUGACGUUAGCGGCGGACGGGUGAGUAACACGUGGAUAACCUACCUAUAAGACUGGGAUAACUUCGGGAAACCGGAGCUAAUACCGGAUAAUAUAUUGAACCGCAUGGUUCAAUAGUGAAAGACGGUUUUGCUGUCACUUAUAGAUGGAUCCGCGCCGCAUUAGCUAGUUGGUAAGGUAACGGCUUACCAAGGCAACGAUGCGUAGCCGACCUGAGAGGGUGAUCGGCCACACUGGAGCUGCGACACGGUCCAGACUCCUACGGGAGGCAGCAGUAGGGAAUCUUCCGCAAUGGGCGAAAGCCUGACGGAGCAACGCCGCGUGAGUGAUGAAGGUCUUCGGAUCGUAAAACUCUGUUAUUAGGGAAGAACAAAUGUGUAAGUAACUAUGCACGUCUUGACGGUACCUGAUCAGAAAGCCACGGCUAACUACGUG